GCCCUUUUCAAUUGCUAGCCUUGCAAACCCAACCUGAGAUUGGAAUUUUCCUUUUUCUCUUCUUACUUUUUCUGGUGGUAACAUUUGCUUCAGGGCAAAGUUUCUACUUAAAUAAUUUGAAAAUAAGCUAAUUUCAGGUGGAUUGCACAUUGGUUAAAUGAAGGACAUAAUUUAACUUUACAAUUGUAAUUCAGUGACUUCAAAGUCCAGAUCAGAAACCAGCACCACUAACUGUACUAAACUGUGCAGUGCUAGCAGAAGCAAAAAUAGCAGCCAAAAUAUUUUUGUUACUGGGGUAAGAAGAUACCAGACUGGACACAGAGGAGAAACAGGAUCCACAAAUGAGAAGCUGCUAUUUUUACAUGCACAUACACACACGCACAUUCACUUGCUCACCCUCUUACACCUUCUCUGCAGAGCAGAAGCACACCUGUAUCCGGAUGGCUGUGUUGUGCCAGGCCGGUGGUUGCUGACUCAGAUUAGGGUUUUUUUCCUGUGGUUAUGUAGGAGUAGUUUUGUGUGUGCUAAUCCAUAUUAGAAUCCAGUUAAGCUAUCUUAGUCUGCCAUGUCUAGUCACUUUUCAGAUUCCUUACUAUUAACAGAAGCUAGAUUUUUCAAAACUGACUGCUGCUUUAUAAUAUGAAUGUAAAUGCAAAGCUGAAGAGAAGCUCCAUGCUGACUAACAUAUCAUGCUGUUUCAGAUAUGGGACAGUUUAAUUGUUGUGUGCCUUAGUUACUAUGUUUGAAACGGUACAAAACUAUUCAUGUUCCGAAGAUUAACUCAUAAGGUUUUUCUAUGCUGCAAACUUUUCUGGCUGUUUUCCUUAUUUUGUUUGUGUGAGUACCAGUGUACUCAGGAUUGGAUGUUUUUCGAUCAUGUGCUAUGAAAUCAUUUGUUGAAAUUGGAAAUGUAACUAACAGCUGGAAAAUGAACAGGAAACUGAGUUGUGUAGAAGCACUAAAGGCAUGUAUGCUGAGCUUAGUGAUACUCUUCAGUGUGGAAUGGAUACUAUUAAUUUAAAAUUAUUCAUAUGUGCUCAAAAAAAUUUUGUGCUUCCAUUUAUAAAUAGGGUGUUGUUAAUUGUAAUAUUUCUAAUAUCACCCUAUACUUUUGUUUCCUUAGCUGACCCUAUGAUUUUAAAGAUGGUCACAUCUCUCUAUUUUAAUAAUUGUGUAUAGCCAGAAUUUUCCAGCUAGAUGCCUAACUGGAAGCAAUCAAAUUCUGUACUUUUAGUAUUAAAUAACUGCAUAAAGGGAGAAGUAAGGUCUGUAAUGAGCAACAGAGUUAAAAAUCAGUUUUCUUGAAGUUUUAUUCUUAGCUGAAACUUAAUCUUCCUCUGUAAAACAGAUAGAAGAAUAUCUGCAGAAAAUGUAUUUUGUAACCAUCAAAAAGCUACUUAAAAGGCCAAACCUUGUUAUUGAUACCUUGCAGAAUCUUUGACAGACAUGCUCUGUAGGAACAACUCUGUUAUGUUUAUUUUCACCUGCUCAGAGGAUUACAAUGUCAGGUGAAGGAAUAAACCAAUAAGGAGCAAGCGUAUCACAAAAGGUAGACGGCCUUAGCAUUGAAGGAGUGGGAGGGAAAAAACCCCAAAAUAAAUCAGUAUUGUUUCUACUGAGGCCACAACAUCUCUCUAAAAAUUCCUUUACACAUCAGUAUCAGAGGUAGUAGGUUAUACCAAGAUACAUUUUGAUUGUCUGGCAAAAAUUGUUCUGUGUACUUUAGUUCUAUUUUAAGAUCAGGUUUUUAAUCAACUGUUGGAAAGUUAUUGUAGGGAACAGGAAAUGUGCAUUAGCUUGACAUUUAAAGAUAUGCACAGUUCCAUUGCAUGAAUAUUUCCAGGCUGUGAAAACAAAGAUAUCCCAUGUAAAAAGGGUUUAAGUUUUAAAAGGGUUUAAGUUUUAAAAAUGUUUGUGUAAGCAGCCCAUUUAGUUCCCAUUAACCUGAGACAUUUUGACAUAAUGAUAGCUUUUGGAUCAUUACCUUCAGGCAACAAAAUGUAGUUAGGUGGACAGUUGCAUGCUGCAGGCCUGAUGGUUGCAUUUGCAGAAGCAGGGCUGUAGGAACAUAUGUUACUAGUAAGAGUAAAUAUGACCUACUUGUCUGAUAUACUAACUCACCCUGUACGAUCACUUUCUGCAUCAGUAUGUGGCUGAAAGGACUGGUGAUAUAACCUUGGUCAGCAUGCACUUCUGAAGCUUUGUCAUAUAAGUUGUGCUUUUCAUUAAAUACAAAUAAGAACUUUACUGCUGAGUUUGGGUUAAACAAAAUGCUUUAAAAAUAUAAUUAGUAAUUUGAAAAUAUAAAUAUCAACUAUAUAUUUAUAUGCCAAUAUAGAUCAGAAGUGGAGCACUAUUUUCCAAAUGUGUAAACCACUGAUCUAGAAAGCGAAUAUUAGCAUAGAAUAUAAAGAUGCGUGAAAGACAGAGAAUUCUGGAUUGACUGAUGUUUGUGAAUAGCAGGUGUUUAAAAAGACGGUAAGAAUGUUGAAACUGGUUUGUUGAUGUCAGCUGUGUGAAACUUUGCAGGCAGCUUGUGUUUUGGUCAUUUGCAAUGAACCUGCAUUUUUGUGGUGGUAUAAGCUUUGUGAUUUUACACUUUUUCACUCUUGAGUAUUAAACAAUCAAAAUCAA
rnacentral:lncRNA from 1 species